UCGGGAAUUUUGGGCAAUGGGCGAAAGCCUGACCCAGCAACGCCGCGUGAAGGAUGAAAUCCUUCGGGAUGUAAACUUCGCAAGAACGGGAAGAAUAAGUAAGAGUUAAUAUCUCUUAUGAUGACGGUACUGUUUGUAAGCUCCGGCUAACUCCGUGCCAGCAGCCGCGGUAAUACGGGGGGAGCAAGCGUUGUUCGGAUUUACUGGGCGUAAAGGGCGCGCAGGCGGCCACCGCAAGUCGACUGUGAAAUCUCCGGGCUUAACCCGGAAAGGUCAGCCGAUACUGCGGGGCUAGAGUGCAGAAGGGGCAACUGGAAUUCUCGGUGUAGCGGUAAAAUGCGUAGAUAUCGAGAGGAACACCUGCGGCGAAGGCGGGUUGCUGGGCUGACACUGACGCUGACAGCGCGAAAGCUAGGGGAGCGA
rnacentral:rRNA from 1 species